AUUGAACGCUGGCGGCAGGCCUAACACAUGCCAGUCGAACGGUAACAGAAAGCAGCUUGCUGCUUUGCUGACGAGUGGCGGACGGGUGAGUAAUGUCUGGGAAACUGCCUGAUGGAGGGGGAUAACUACUGGAAACGGUAGCUAAUACCGCAUAACGUCGCAAGACCAAAGAGGGGGACCUUCGGGCCUCUUGCCAUCGGAUGUGCCCAGAUGGGAUUAGCUAGUAGGUGGGGUAACGGCUCACCUAGGCGACGAUCCCUAGCUGGUCUGAGAGGAUGACCAGCCACACUGGAACUGAGACACGGUCCAGACUCCUACGGGAGGCAGCAGUGGGGAAUAUUGCGCAAUGGGCGCAAGCCUGAUGCAGCCAUGCCGCGUGUAUGAAGAAGGCCUUCGGGUUGUAAAGUACUUUCAGCGGGGAGGAAGGGAGUAAAGUUAAUACCUUUGCUCAUUGACGUUACCCGCAGAAGAAGCACCGGCUAACUCCGUG
rnacentral:rRNA from 1 species